AGAAUCAACGCUGACGGCGUGCCUAACACAUGCAAGUCGCACGAGAAAGGGACUUCGGUCCUGAGUAAAGUGGCGCACGGGUGAGUAACACGUGAAUCAUCUACCUCCGAAUGGGGAAUAACUGAGAGAAAUCUUAGCUAAUACCGCAUAAUACCUACGGGUCAAAGCAGCAAUGCGUUUGGAGAGGAGUUCGCGGUCGAUUAGUUAGUUGGCGGGGUAAUGGCCCACCAAGACGAUGAUCGAUAUCCGGCCUGAGAGGGCGCACGGACACACUGGAACUGAAACACGGUCCAGACUCCUACGGGAGGCAGCAGUGGGGAAUUUUGCGCAAUGGGGGAAACCCUGACGCAGCAACGCCGCGUGGAGGAUGAAAUAUCUUGGUAUGUAAACUCCUUUCGAUGGGGAAGAUAAUGACGGUACCCAUAGAAGAAGCCCCGGCUAACUUCGUGCCAGCAGCCGC
rnacentral:rRNA from 1 species